UGUCCAAUGAAGUUCUAUAGUCUUGGCUCAAUUAUAACUGCAAUUUGCAUUUCUUUGAUGCUUUGUUUUGAUUCUGAUUCUCAUACAAUACCAAAAUCUUGAAAUUCUGCAACUUCUUUUCUUGGAACUGUUCCUUUGUCUUUUGUCCUCUGCUGCAUUGGAUUCUUUUUCCAAUUUCAAUUCCAUAUUGUUUUCAAUUUUCUUGUAGCACCAAUUUACAAAGAUGAAUGAUAUAAUUAAUGUGAAUUCAUCUAUAAUCAAAACAUAAUAUCAUUUUAAUUUUCUUGAUAAAUUUGUUACAUGUUGCUGGGAAAUGCCUAGUUUGAUUUUCAAAUUACAUUUGAUUUCUGAGUUCUGCAGAAACUAACACUACAUGUUACUCAAAGAUCUAAUGGAAGAAAAACAGUUAAACCUUAGCCAGCCACUUCUAUCGGUGCGGCGAUACUCAUCGACAAAGUCCUCAAAAAGAAGCAAGAGUGGUAGCAAUUCAUCAACCAGAUUACCCUCUCCACCUUUAUACAAAUCAGAUUUAAAGUCAGGUCCAGUUAGAACUGCAGGUGCUGUCCCAUUUGUGUGGGAAAAAGCUCCUGGAAAACCAAAAGAACAGAGCAAUUCACAAAAACAUGGUCUAAUCACUCCAAAUCCUCCACCAGGGAAGGUUUCAAAGGUAAAUAGGAAGCAAUGUUUUGAUGCAGUUUCGACUUGUGGAAGCAAUAAUGUUUCUGAUUCUGUAAGGAUUUCGGAUAAAGAGGAAGUUAAGGAAAAGGAAAAGGUAGCAGGUUCUGAUUCAGAUGAUGAGAAUUUUGUAGAUGCUCUUGAGACACUUUCAAGGACUGAAUCAUUCUUCAUGAGCACUACUAGUGUUUUUGAUGAUCAAGAGGUCCUGGAACAAUCUAGAAGCUUAUCAUCAUUGUCCAGCAAUCGCGAUUUCAUAAUCGACAGGUUCUUGCCGGCAGCAAAGGCCUUGACAUCCGGAACACAGCCAUAUGCAUCAUCCUUCAGGAAGACAAUUGUAGGACAAGAACAACAACGAAAAGAGAUUAAGAAAGUUUUGAGACCAGAAAUUUCCCUGCCUCUUAGUCAGCAUAGGCCUAAAGCUCUGCCUCGUUAUGGCGAAGAUAAAACCGGAGACUGCAAUGAAGCCGAAAACUUCACGGCCACUGGUUGUGGAUUGUUUCCUAAGCUAUGUCUUCUUAGUCCAAUUGGAGGAUCAAGAAAUGAGGAUAAGACUCAAAGUUCUGCAGUUCAUGGAAUGCAAGCAAAAUCAGUUACUUCCCAUUGUGAAACUACAAAGGAGCAUGCUAAAACUUCUUUUCCUUGGAAAAAGCCAUUGGAUUCUCAACCUGGUUUCACAGAAGUAAAAGACAUCUUGUGUGUUUCUGAGAAAUCUAAACAUGGAACUGAUCCACAUCAUAGUAGAGGCUGCAAUAAACCAUCAUCAACCAGUGAGAUCCCUGUGGUUGAGAAAACUCUAUAUGUUGAUUCUGUGCGCAAGGUUAAGUCGCAUUCAAGUUCAAUCUCUUCUGAAGUAAAGAAUCAAACCAUCCACAAAGGAGAUAGUUCUAAAAAUUCUAGUAGUGAUAUGAACAUAAUAGAAAUGACAAAGCAUUCCAAGAAGCUGAACUCAACAGAAGUUGCUACCAAAGUUGGAGAAGAUGGGAAAAUUGACUUAGAAGGCCAAUGUGUUAUUCAAUUAGGCCAAAAAGAAACAGAUGAUGAUGAUGAUUCAAGCUAUAUGCAGGUUUCACUUGAACUUCCUUCACUGAAAGCUCCAUCAGAGUCUUGGCUUAAGCGCACUCUACCUACAAUUUCCACAAGCAACUUGCAAUCAAGAACAAACAACAUUGCUACAAACACUUGUGCAAGAAGUCAAACUCAUAAGACAGCUUCAUCAAUGUAUCCUAAGUGGGAAACAAUUGUUAAAUCCUCUAAUGUACAUCAUGGACAUCAGAGGCUCCCUAAGGAACUACUGACAAGCAUUCCAGAAGCUUUUGAACAUCAUGGAAAUGGUAGCUAAGCAAACUUUGUGGUUAUCGAGGACGCAUCAAGAUCUGGAAAAUUCUGCAAGAGAAGGUUGGAUUUGGAUCGCUGAAAGAUGAGCAGAGAAUUGGUCGAAAUUGUUGAUGGUACGCACAAUUCUGGAGGAGCCUUAUCUCUAUUGGGAAUGUUCUUUCUCUCGCUUUGGAUCAUAUCCAUGGUAAUAUUUUCCUGUGGUGAUGAUGAUGACGAUCCCCGCCGCCGCAGAGGCGGAAGAUCUGGCCUUAGUGGACUUGGCGGAGACGGUGGUGGUGCAGAUGGUGGCGGCGGCGGAGGUGGUGGUGGUGGCUUCGGUGGUGGCUAGAGCAAUAUAACAGAAACAAUCAAGUUAUUUUCUCCUUUGAUGGUGUUGGUUACAUAGAUCAAAGAAUGUUUUUAUCACUGGAACGUAAGUUCUUUAAUUGUUUUGGUUUUAUCUUCAUAUUCUUUUAUGUCUAUUUAUUCAGUUCCCUAUCAUCUGCCAACACAAUCCUUGUGAAAUUCACCCAAUCCUUAAUCUACACUUGACAAACUAAAUAACAAAAAAUUUGGUCAUUUGUUCUUUCUUCACAAUGGAAGCUACCUUAUCGGAGGUGAACUUAUGCA